rnacentral:rRNA from 1 species
GACAGAGGUGCCGAGCGUUAGGCGGAAUCACUGGGCUUAAAGCGUGUGUAGGCGGGCGGGCAAGUACCUUGUGAAAUCCCACGGCUCAACCGUGGAACGGCUGGGUAUACUGCCUGUCUUGAGCCAACUAGGGGCGAGCGGAACAGACAGUGGAGCGGUGAAAUGCGUAGAUAUCGUCUGGAACGCCGAAGGUGAAAACAGCUCGCUGGGGUUGUGCUGACGCUGAGACACGAAAGCCAGGGGAGCGAACGGG